rnacentral:tRNA from 1 species
UGCUCUAUGGUGUAACGGCAGCACAGAGGUCUCUGGAACCUUUAAUCUUGGUUCGAAUCCAGGUGGAGCAGC